GAUGAACGCUGGCGGCGCGCCUAACACAUGCAAGUCGAACGGCACCCCUCCUCGGAGGGAAGCGAGUGGCGAACGGCUGAGUAACACGUGGAGAACCUGCCCCCUCCCCCGGGAUAGCCGCCCGAAAGGACGGGUAAUACCGGAUACCCCGGGGUGCCGCAUGGCACCCCGGCUAAAGCCCCGACGGGAGGGGAUGGCUCCGCGGCCCAUCAGGUAGACGGCGGGGUGACGGCCCACCGUGCCGACAACGGGUAGCCGGGUUGAGAGACCGACCGGCCAGAUUGGGACUGAGACACGGCCCAGACUCCUACGGGAGGCAGCAGUGGGGAAGCUUGCGCAAUGGGGGGAACCCUGACGCAGCGACGCCGCGUGCGGGACGGAGGCCUUCGGGUCGUAAACCGCUUUCAGCAGGGAAGAGUCAAGACUGUACCUGCAGAAGAAGCCCCGGCUAACUACGUG
rnacentral:rRNA from 1 species